rnacentral:rRNA from 1 species
UACGUAGGGUGCAAGCGUUGUCCGGAAUUAUUGGGCGUAAAGAGCUCGUAGGCGGUUCGUCGCGUCGGCUGUGAAAUCCCGGAGCUCAACUCCGGGUCUGCAGUCGAUACGGGCGGACUUGAGUACUGCAGGGGAGACUGGAAUUCCUGGUGUAGCGGUGAAAUGCGCAGAUAUCAGGAGGAACACCGGUGGCGAAGGCGGGUCUCUGGGCAGUAACUGACGCUGAGGAGCGAAAGCGUAGGGGAGCAAACAGG